GCACUAGUAGCUCAGCUUCAGAGCGCCGGUCUUGUAAACCGGUCGCAGGGGUUAAAGUCCCCUCUUCUGCU
rnacentral:tRNA from 1 species